GGCUUCGUGGUCGAGUGGUAAGGACAUUUGCCUCCCAUCCUGAAGUUCUGGGUUUGAUUCCCGGUUGAGGAGCUA